UGGGGAAUUUUGGACAAUGGGGGCAACCCUGAUCCAGCAAUGCCGCGUGUGUGAAGAAGGCCUUCGGGUUGUAAAGCACUUUUGUCCGGAAAGAAAACCUACCUGUUAAUACCGGGUGGGGAUGACGGUACCGGAAGAAUAAGCACCGGCUAACUACGUGCCAGCAGCCGCGGUAAUACGUAGGGUGCGAGCGUUAAUCGGAAUUACUGGGCGUAAAGCGUGCGCAGGCGGUCUGUUAAGACCGAUGUGAAAUCCCCGGGCUUAACCUGGGAACUGCAUUGGUGACUGGCAGGCUAGAGUAUGGCAGAGGGGGGUAGAAUUCCACGUGUAGCAGUGAAAUGCGUAGAGAUGUGGAGGAAUACCGAUGGCGAAGGCAGCCCCUGGGCCAAUACUGACGCUCAUGCACGAAAGCGUGGGGAGCAAACAG
rnacentral:rRNA from 1 species